GGGCUUGACGUUCAUAUUUCUAUCUACAGCUGUUUCAGGGUAUGGGAUAUUUGUGGGAAACAAAUCUACUGGCUGUCAGAGGAGUAGUGAUGUCGACAUUAGCUUCUUCAUCUUAGUUUCAAUCGAUGAGUGGGUACAAGACCACAAUUGGCUCCUUUCUUCAUCUUAGUUCUAAUCGAUGAGUGAGAGUGGGUACAAGACCACAAUUGGCUCCUUUCUUCAUCUUAGUUUGGGAGUGGGUACAAGACCACAAUUGGCUCCUUUCUUCAUCUUAGUUCCAAUCGAUGAGUGGGUACAAGACCACAAUUGGCUCCUUCAUCUUAGUUCAAUCUCAUCUUAAGUUCCAGUUGAUCAGUGUGUACAAGAUUAGACACGGAAACACACAUUUUCAAUUUAUACAGACACGAAAACAUACACCUUUUUCAAUCACUCCUUUCAAUUUAUACAGAAACACACAUUUUCAAUUUAUACAGACACGAAAACAUACACCUUUUUCAAUCACUCCUUUCAAUUUAUACAGAGACAAAAACAUACACCUUUUUCAAUUUA